rnacentral:rRNA from 1 species
GACGAACGCUGGCGGCGUGCUUAACACAUGCAAGUCGAACGGGAAGAGAUGAAGAGCUUGCUCUUUAUCGAAUCCAGUGGCGAACGGGUGAGUAACACGUAAACAACCUGCCUUCAGGAUGGGGAUAACAGACGGAAACGACUGCUAAUACCGAAUACGUUCCACGGGCCGCAUGACGUGUGGAUGAAAGGGUAGCCUCUACCUGUAAGCUAUCGCCUGUUGAGGGGUUUGCGUCGGAUUAGGCAGUUGGUGGGGUAACGGCCCACCAAAGCAACGAACAGGCUCCCGUCGGCGAGGAUGGACAGCCACACUGGAACGGAGACACGGUCCAGACUGCUACGGGAGGGAGCAGUGGGGAAUCGGCCGCAAUGGGCGAAAGUCUGACGGAGCAACGCCGCGGGAGGGAGGACGGCCGUCGGGUUGUAAAGCACGGUGAUCCGGGAGGAAAGAGCCUGAGGUGAAUAGCCUAAGGAAGUGACGGUACCGGAAAAGCAAGCAACGGCUAACUACGUG